CGGAUGAGGUAAAAUGUAGCAACAAAACUUGAAGUUGAUGGUAAAAAGAGAGAGAGUGAUAGAUCACAUUCACAUUUCCCUAAGAAAAACUACUAAGUAUAGAUCGUUGCUUGAUAAUUUAGCCUAAGGAAUUAAUAUGUAUAUAAAUAUAAAUUGAUGGACUGAUUUUAAAUUUGAAAAUGAAAACGAAUUGUCUCUUUGUGUGUGUGCGGGUCCUCAGUGAUCUGUAAAUCUGAUAAGAAGGAACUGAAUAAGUUUGGCAAUACUAAGGUGGGGAUCUGUUCUUCCUUAACCAUUCUAAACCUAUCUCUUGUCUUUUGUUAUUCUCUCUUCUCUCCCUCUGCCUCUGCCUCUGUCUCACUUCUCAUCUCUCAAAUCAUGUUUCUCUCUCCUCUGGAAGAGAUUAUUGAUGGAU
rnacentral:lncRNA from 1 species